AUGAGUUCUGGCAUGGUGCCUUGUCAUUACAUUAUCCAGCCUCCAGAAAACUGGUUGGGUGGUUGCUUUGGCCAAUCUUUGGGGGUCUUGCAGUGGGCAUCUCCAGAGGAGAGUGGCCGCGUAAUUAAAAUUUUCCGUCUUGAUGCUUAUCGCCCUUGUAAGUGGUCUCUAAAGCAUCGUCUUCGCAUACGGGAUGCAUUUGAAAGGGACGACUUUGUUCCCAUUGAAGAGUACCUACUGUGGUUAUGUGGUUUUGAGAUUGUUGCUCUUGACUUUGAAAGGGGUGUUAUCUUCCUCUUUGAGAAGUAUGAAAAAAAGCUUUUGUGGUACAACAUCAACACUGGGAAGCUUAAUGAGAUCAAAGAUGAUCGGUUCACCCAUGGAUGUGAGUACUAUUCUUAUGUGGCAUGCUACUCAAAGCUUCCGGCCUGA
rnacentral:rRNA from 1 species